rnacentral:rRNA from 1 species
UACGGGGGGAGCAAGCGUUGUUCGGAUUUACUGGGCGUAAAGGGCGCGUAGGCGGCGUGACAAGUCACUUGUGAAAUCUCCGGGCUUAACUCGGAACGGUCAAGUGAUACUGUCGUGCUAGAGUACAGAAGGGGCAACUGGAAUUCUCGGUGUAGCGGUGAAAUGCGUAGAUAUCGAGAGGAACACCUGCGGCGAAGGCGGGUUGCUGGGCUGAUACUGACGCUGAGGCGCGAAAGCCAGGGGGAGCGAACAGG